GACGAGCCACACGAACGUUAUUCGGAAUUACUGGGCUUAAAGGGUGCGUAGGCGGUGCGGAAAGUUGGGUGUGAAAUCCCUCGGCUCAACCGAGGAACUGCGCCCAAAACUACCGCACUUGAGGAAGAUAGAGGUAAGCGGAACUCACGGUGGAGCGGUGAAAUGCGUUGAUAUCGUGAGGAACACCCGUGGCGAAAGCGGCUUACUGGGUCUUUUCUGACGCUGAUGCACGAAAGCUAGGGGAGCAAACGGG
rnacentral:rRNA from 1 species